rnacentral:rRNA from 1 species
CUUGGGUCCGGCAUAACCCCGGGAAACUGGGGAUAAUUCCGGAUAACGCACAUAUGUUGAAAUGCUUUAUGCGUAAAAUGGAUUCGUCUGCCCAAGGAUGGGUCUGCGGCCUAUCAGGUAGUAGUGGGUGUAAUGUACCUACUAGCCUACAACGGGUACGGGUUGUGAGAGCAAGAGCCCGGAGAUGGAUUCUGAGACAUGAAUCCAGGCCCUACGGGGCGCAGCAGGCGCGAAAACUUUACAAUGCGGGAAACCGUGAUCAGGGGACACCGAGUGCUAGCAUCAUAUGCUGGCUGUCCAGGUGUGUAAAAUACACCUGUUAGCAAGGGCCGGGCAAGACCGGUGCCAGCCGCCGCGGUAACACCGGCGGCCCGAGUGGUGAUCGUGAUUAUUGGGUCUAAAGGGUCCGUAGCCGGUUUGGUCAGUCCUCCGGGAAAUCUGAUAGCUCAACUAUUAGGCUUUCGGGGGAUACUGCCAGACUUGGAACCGGGAGAGGUAAGAGGUACUACAGGGGUAGGAGUGAAAUCUUGUAAUCCCUGUGGGACCACCUGUGGCGAAGGCGUCUUACCAGAACGGGUUCGACGGUGAGGGACGAAAGCUGGGGGCACGAACCGGAUUAGAUACCCGGGUAGUCCCAGCCGUAAACGAUGCUCGCUAGGUGUCAGGCAUGGCGCGACCGUGUCUGGUGCCGCAGGGAAGCCGUGAAGCGAGCCACCUGGGAAGUACGGCCGCAAGGCUGAA